GGUAGAAUGGCUGAGUGAUAAGCGGCAGGCUGUAAUCCUGUUUACACAGGUUUAAUUCCUGUCUCUACUA
rnacentral:tRNA from 1 species